UAGGGAAUUUUGCGCAAUGGGGGAAACCCUGACGCAGCAACGCCAUGUGUGGGAUGAAGCAUUUCGGUGUGUAAACCACUGUCGGCAGGGAAUAAAGCCCGCAUAUAUGCGGGGGUGAAUGUACCUGCAAAGGAAGCCCCGGCUAACUUCGUGCCAGCAGCCGCGGUAAUACGAGGGGGGCAAGUGUUGUUCGGAAUUACUGGGCGUAAAGGGAGCGUAGGCGGGCUCUUAAGUUGGAUGUUUAAAACCGGGGCCUAACCCCGGCGUGGCAUCCAAAACUGGGAGUCUUGAAUGGGACAGAGGCCAGUGGAAUUAGAGGUGUAGCGGUGGAAUGCGUAGAUAUCUCUAAGAACACCAGUUGCGAAGGCGGCUGGCUGGGUCCACAUUGACGCUGAGGCUCGAAAGCGUGGGGAGCAAACAGGAUUAGAUACCCCCGUAGUCC
rnacentral:rRNA from 1 species